GGCAGACGCACCUUCUUUUGAGCUCUGGCUGUGCCCCUCCUCAUUGUGGAAGCCCUGCUUCCCUCAGCUCUCAAGCAGACAAGAACAGUCCCAGCAUCAUUGUGUGGUUAUGAGAAUUAAUUAAGCUGAUCAUGGUACUUAGUAUAUGGUAAAUAGUACUUAGUAUGUGGAACAUGGUACUUAGUGUAUGGUAAAUUAACUGGAGAAUUAAUUAAGCUGAGCAUGGUAGUUAGUAUAUGGUAAAUGAUCAAAAAAUAUUUGCCAUUCUUAGUAAUAACAGUACUAAUAAUUAAGAAUGACACUUCCUCCCUCUCUCUUGCUUCCAACCAGACUAUAGGAUAUGACCCCAUCAUUUCCCCAGAGGUCUCGGCCUCCUUUGGUGUUCAGCAGCUGCCCCUGGAGGAGAUCUGGCCUCUCUGUGAUUUCAUCACUGUGCACACUCCUCUCCUGCCCUCCACGACAGGCUUGCUGAAUGACAACACCUUUGCCCAGUGCAAGAAGGGGGUGCGUGUGGUGAACUGUGCCCGUGGAGGGAUCGUGGACGAAGGCGCCCUGCUCCGGGCCCUGCAGUCUGGCCAGUGUGCCGGGGCUGCACUGGACGUGUUUACGGAAGAGCCGCCACGGGACCGGGCCUUGGUGGACCAUGAGAAUGU
rnacentral:sRNA from 1 species